GACGAACGCUGGCGGCGUGCUUAACACAUGCAAGUCGAACGGUAAGGCCUUUCGGGGUACACGAGUGGCGAACGGGUGAGUAACACGUGGGUGAUCUGCCCUGCACUUCGGGAUAAGCCCGGGAAACUGGGUCUAAUACCGGAUAGGACUGCGCGGUGCAUGCCGUGUGGUGGAAAGAUUUAUCGGUGCAGGAUGGGCCCGCGGCCUAUCAGCUUGUUGGUGGGGUAAUGGCCUACCAAGGCGACGACGGGUAGCCGGCCUGAGAGGGCGACCGGCCACACGGGAAUGAGGAAAGGCCCCAACUCCUUACGGAGGGCAGAGUUGGGAAUAUUGCACAAUGGGCGCAAGCCUGAUGCAGCGACGCCGCGUGAGGGAUGACGGCCUUCGGGUUGUAAACCUCUUUCAGCAGGGACGAAGCGUGAGUGACGGUACCUGCAGAAGAAGCACCGGCCAACUACGUG
rnacentral:rRNA from 1 species